GACGAACGCUGGCGGCGUGCUUAACACAUGCAAGUCGAGCGGUAAGGCCCUUUCGGGGGUACACGAGCGGCGAACGGGUGAGUAACACGUGGGUGACCUGCCCUCAGCUCUGGGAUAAGCCUGGGAAACCGGGUCUAAUACCGGAUAUGACUCCAUGACGCAUGUUGUGGGGUGGAAAGCCUUGUGCGGCUGAGGAUGGGCCCGCGGCCUAUCAGCUUGUUGGUGGGGUGANGGCCUACCAAGGCGACGACGGGUAGCCGGCCUGAGAGGGCGACUGGCCACACUGGGACUGAGACACGGCCCAGACUCCUACGGGAGGCAGCAGUCGGGAAUUUUGGGCAAUGGGCGAAAGCCUGACCCAGCAACGCCGCGUGAAGGAUGAAA
rnacentral:rRNA from 1 species